rnacentral:lncRNA from 1 species
UGAGGGGGAACACCAAGGUUUUGAUACAAAGUAUGGAAACAAGGGCUGAUGAGAUGGAAGCACUCCUGGAAGCCUGACAAGCUCCACACAGUCCUACAGCGUUCCACCAUGUAAAAUCAGGCCUUCAUUUUGAACUUGGAAAUCUCCUCACUUGCAGGCAGUGGCAAUGCCAGCAAGCCACAGGUGGGCACCACAUGAGCAGGU